rnacentral:tRNA from 1 species
UCCCCAGUGGCCCAUUGGUUGAGGCUCUGUGUUCCCAAUGCAGGGGGCAUGGGUUCAAUCCCUGGUUGGGGAA